CCUUACCCUCAUCUGUUGCCGCUACCACCACCUCACCACCCACCCACGUAAACAUUGCCGCCGCGUCCUCUUGACCCGUGCACAGGAGCCACCAUCGACCUCACUCCAGAUCUGAGCAGUCGCAAUGCCUAGGCGCCAGCCAUCGCAUGGUGGAGCAGCCAUGCCACCAUGGGCAACACUUGAGAGGGAUCUAACUUUUCCUAUUUUAGGCCCUAUGGGAUCUAACUCUUGCCUAGCUGAUCUAUUCUCUUAGGAAGUGCAGGGCACAACAAGUGUUUGGCUUAAGUUCAUGGAAAAUGAAGUGCAGGGCACAACAAGUGUUUGGCUUAAGUUCAUGGAAAAUGGUUCUCCACAACCUGGUGGACGCGCUUUUGGUUUUUCAUUUCCUAUUGUGUGCACCAACCUUAGUAUUAUAUAUCAAACACAAAGUACUAUAUAUUGCUCGCUAGUGUGCAUUUAUGUAAGCUUUUGUUGGAUAAUGUAGUAUGCAAGAUAAGAUUGUAUGCUUGACUUUGUUGGAUGAUGUAGUGUGAUGUAGUGUGCAAGACAAGAUUGUAUGGUAUAAUAUAUAUGUAUCAACCUUCAUGUCAUGUGUGACCUUAUAUCUUUGUGUGUGAUGGACAUUAUUGAGCUUGAGUGUGGGUUUGAUGUGCUACAUA